rnacentral:ncRNA from 1 species
GGCGGACUCGAAACUACCGGACGUGCAAUCGGGCUACGAGAAGGCGUAUACCGAUGUGUUGGCAGGGCACAGUGGGGCAAACUUGGUCUACGAGGCGG